CCGGCGCUGAGGGCGCGGGCCCGGCUGUGCGUGGGCAGGGCGCGGCGGGGGGCGAGGCCUGCUGAGCAAACUGCUUCCCUGUCAGCGCGGUGCCGUUCCCACCCCAGUUCUCGUGUGAAACAGUUGUGAGUAGGUCCACAUCGCUCCUGGAAAUACACUGCUGAGGUAUUCAGCAAAAAGCAGAGCAUCCAACCUAAUUCUUCUCUCCUCUGAAUGUUUCUGUUCUCUUAUGCUGCCUAAAUGAGACAGGUGGAAGACAGCUUUAAUUAGGACUUGGCCAUAAAGCACCAGGAUGUUAUCAACAAGAUCACAUGCAAAGAUACUGUAGUUCCAAUGUAUGUUUCUUUAUAUCCCAAAUACUGCAAGUUUUCUCUCUCUCUCUCGCGUGAAGUAUUGUGAGCAGAAUCUUUGCUGAAAGGAAUUCCAACUGUUUUUCUAUCAAAGACGCGCAGUGCCAGCACAUAUGUUCCUGCCUGAAUUGUGAAACGGAGAAAAUGGAAUGGGAGACAGCUGUGACUACGUUAAUAGUAAAUUAGCAUUUUUUCUAUUGGAGUGUGAAGAAGGAGGUGAGAAGCAUUGUUAAUUCUCAAUCUCCCUAAAGAGUCUUAAUAAAACUAGUCAGUUAUCUUGCAACUUAACAUUUUGCAAUGCUGCUUAACAUUCAGCAACAGUAAGUGAAAACCAGCACUGGCUACUGUGCUGUACUUAUUAAAGCUAGCAGAGCAUUACAGAAAAAGAUUUAUGGUUACUUGCAGGGAUGGAGGGAAUGUUCCCAGCAAGAGGGAAAAGAAAAUAAUUCACAGUGCAAACAUUACUUUUAUUUAGUUUGAGUAUAUGCUAUCUAUCAUAUCCUCGUGUCCCAAACAUAAAAUAUAGUUGUUUUUAAAUAAAAAGAACCCUUUCAGUAAUUAAAUAUACUUUCACGUAACAAUUGGACAUACAGUGCAAAUGAAGUUUUAUAUUAUUGACCAGUUCUACCAAUACUGAAGACACAUCCAUUGAUUUAAAGACUUGAGAAUAUAAACUGCCCUAAGUAGUGGGGACUGAUCUCCCUAUGAUUGGUAAAGUUACACAGUGCUCACAUCUGUAGAGUGAGAUCUUUUCUCCUGUUAAAUCCCCACGCGUUCAGGUGAUAAUGUACUCUUUUGACUGUGGCAUGAUAGGAUGCUUAAUCUUGGAAUAAAGCACAAAGAAACACGGGCUUAUUGAAUAAUAAUAUUCCUUUAGCGACGUACGGGGCUUUAUCAUAAAGCAAAAACAUGGCAUCCUGUAAGUUCCCCAGGCUAAUUGUGUGCUGAGGUAUUACAGAAGAUAAGUGUUAUGCUUUUGCAUGCUGUCAGUAGGUUUGGAGGGACAAUUUGGGUGGGUUGAGAGCUGAAGGAAACAAGCUGAUAAGGAGCCCGGCAAUUACUUAGUUGGGAUCUGCCGUAAUUCUUCAUUCUUCUACCUUCCCAAAUGCAACCCCUUUAAAAACAACCAGGGCCAGUAUAUGACUUCCAUACUGAUGCAAACAUAAAUAAAGCUUAUUAAGAGAUAACUGUUCCUUGGGUGCCUCCUCCCACUUCUUUGCAAUCAGUUUCCUGUUUUUUAGGGUUCGUUUUCCCACAUCAUCUGCAGUUGGACUUUGCUCUGAAACCAACAGGCAUGAAAGGCAGCUCCUGUGAGGAGGCAGCUAUCUCGUGUUUAUGCCUUUCACAUACUUGCAAUAAGAAAGGAACCUCUGAGAGCAGUGGCACUGAAUGUUGGGGCUAAGGCUAGAGGAGAAGUCAGUUUUGUAAUGUUCCAGAAUAGGCUUGAAAAGAUUCUUUUAGUAACAUUUGUACCAGGCUCAAAGCUUUAUCUUGUUGCUUUCUGACUCGAGCGCUCUGCCGGUAUUCAGAGCUGCGCCCAAUUACUCUGCUGGGAGGGGAAAUGGAGUUUUACAAUAAGGCCUCUCUUUAGCAAAAUUCAGUUUAUUUACAGAGAAAUCCACACAGUGUCCUGCUUGUGCGGACAGCCUGCGACCACAUGGCAGCCGACAGCCUACUUCCUCACAUUACCUAAGCCAUCAUUCCCAGAGAGCUUCCCCUCAGGAGCUCGGCCUGCUCCUUGCCCACAGCCACAGCCUCAUCACCCACCGCCCUGCCCGUGUGCCCCUAGCAGCAGCUGCAGCACAUCGCUGCCAGCCUCUCAUUCCUGGGGAUUUGGCCUUGCCCCGCUGCCCCUGGCCUUCAGCUGCAGAUUUAAUUAAUUUAAUUGCUCCUUCCCUUGCCCCUUGUCAAAGGAUGCUGGCCUGCUUCUGGGUGCUUUCCAGGUGUUCUGUAAAUGACAGACACGGGCUUCUUCCAACACACUAGCACAAACAUCUUCUUCCUAAAACUCCAUAGCUUCAACGGAGAAUAUUUCUUUGGUUUUUUUGUGUGUGUCUGUGUGCUGUCAUACUUUUAGUGCCAGCAGAAAGCGUAAGUAUGAUCCUGACUAUUCCAAUCGAUGUGUUUGAUGAAUUUGUGAACAUUUAUUUAUAUUCACAUUAUACAGUGCAUCCCCUCAAAAUGAAAAGAAUACCCCUUUUCACGGGUGGAUGAAGAAAGAAAUAUGAACGCAAGUCUGGCAAGAAAUGUGGCUGUCCCAGCUUGGGGGCAGAGCUGUGGCAUGGACUGCUGCUGCUCACAUAUCAGAACUAUCCAUGGCACAAAAAGCAGGAGCAUGAGCUAUCUGAUUUUAUGUGAAAUUCCUUUAGAUCCCAAUUUCUAAAAGCGCAAUCGGAUCGCUUGGUGCUGCAGAGUUUAAAGUAGGUGUGAAUGUGAAGGUUCCUUGGAGAAGGAAAGACACCUCAGUUGAACAGAACACAGGAAAACACCGAAAGGAGAAUUGAAGCAAAUGUCUUACUUGGUAAUAAUAGCGAUGAACUACAUUUAAAAACAUUUUUAAUUAUUAUUUGCAGGCUGGAAGCAUUUAACCUAUUACUGUUUAUAGAAGGAAGUUUUCAUAUUCUGUGGCAGAAUUUAAAUUAAAAUCCUCGCUAUGGUGUCAUUCUGAUAAUAAUUUAAUUCUGGGACUGUUGCCAUCGUGUAUUUAUAACACAGAAAUUUUUGCAACUGGAAGAGCUAUCCAUAGUAGUCAAUAGACUGAGUUACGCCUGUGAUAGUGCAGUUAUCUAUUACUUUAAUAUGCUAACUAGGAUUUCAGUGUAGCUGCUAGCAUGGAAAAUCUUUUAAAACACAGUAUAUUAACAAAGUGGAGGGAACAACCCUGCUUGUUCUUUUACACUGAAUAUUUUCAUGGUUUGACUUUAGAUAUUCCCCUGCUAAGAAAACUGCUGUUGUUUACAUAAUGCUGAACUUGGGUUACCCUGCAGGGAGUUCAUGACAUACAAGCCAAAUGUUUUAAUAAUUGUAACAACUAAAUUUGAUGGUGUUUAAUAUUCUUGCAUUCAUAAUGAAGCUUUGUUGACUGUUUAGUCUGUUAAUUCUUAUGUAAAAUGUUGCCUGCUGCGGUGGAACAAAAUACGCCUUCUUCCUUUGUAUUAAGAUCAAUGAAAAACAGCAUUUGAGGACAAUCUACAUCAGACCUAUUAUCAGUACUCUACAAAUUUGUAAAAUAUAAGAUGAUGUAUCUGUUAUUUUGGUGCUGUGUAGAACCAGCAAGUUAAUCUCUAAGUACAACAUUUAAACAGUACGUACAAGAAAAGCAUUGAGAGGUUUUCAUUUGCAUACCUUUAGAGUCUGUUGAAAUUAAGGAACUGGCAACUACUGAAAUUCAGAAACUGGCAUUUUAUUUUAUUUAUUCUCUUUAUAUUUCUAUAUAUGUAUUAUUUUUUCUCUAUGUGUAUUUACUAUAUUUCAUUCUAUAACAUCUAAUUGCUGAAAUCCUAUCUUCUGCAUUACAUCAGUGAGCAGCUACAGCAGUACUUUGGGUUUUGGUGUUGUUUUGUUGUUCGUUUUUUUAUUAUGACAGCAGAUGAAUUGGUAAAUUGGUUAUCUAACAGCUGUUUUACAUUUUCAAUUUACCAGUCUUUGAUGAUGUCUUGUUUUGAAGAGUAUUUUCCAGACUAAGACACCAUAUGAUCCCUCUGUAUUUCUGUAACAUGUAACUCGACCUUUUAAUUUGUUGCUAAUUACUCUUAAAUGGCUGUUUGCUGAGCAAGCUAAAGAAAUGUAGGAAGUCAUUCCACCUGUGGCAAAACUCAGAGCUCCUGUAGUAUAAUCAGUACCAGUUACGGUACUGAAUUAAAAAUGUUCAGAGGGAUAUUCUCACAAGUUAAGCUACUUUGGAGAGGAUGAAAUAUAGGUCAGAUAACCUGGCAGUAUAAGACUGACAGCGUAAUGCUAUGAAAGUGAAAUGUGACUGUAAAUUCCCUUUUCGUUGCAGCUGCUAGUUGCUAGCACAGCCCACACCAGGAUUUAAGUGCAUGCACAGUCACUCUGGUGAGGAGGUGUAUGGGUAUGGGCUCAGACCUUUCCCUUGGCAGCCUCUGCACAUUGGCAUAAUUGUAUAGCUCCCUGCAGUGGCCAAAUCCGGAUGGUUGCCACAUGGCAUGUGUGCCUGAUUCCAGCUACACUUCAUCUCCUGCAUUCACAUGCAUUGCAGUGUUUCGGUAAAGAACCAAUCGAGCUAUCUGGCAGGAUAUUCCCAUUUCACUUCCAGAACAAAGCAUGCCACCUGGCACACAUGAACACCUGCCCCAGGGGAGCAGCUGAGCAACCACAUGUGGUGGGAGCUGUGUCCCUAAUCCCUCAAAACAUACCUAGAGACCAUGGCAAUAGAUGCAGUAUAAGAAAACAUGUUGAAUAAAAUUGCAUGAAAUACUGUCUGCUCCCCCAGAACUUCAUGGUUAUUUUGUUAUUGACUUCAAAUCCAUCUAGAAUUCUGCCCAUGCAAUUUCAAAGUAAUUGGAAUAAAGUCUUUUUCUUCUUUUUUCUUCUAAAUGAAGGCUUUUGCUGUAUUUAACUACAUAAUUGUACUGGUUACCACUGUAGUAUCAGACUGAAGAAGGACUCCAAACUCAUGUUGCUGCUGAGUACAGAACCAGUCACCUCUCCAAGCCUCUUACGCCCUGUGAGAUUUUAUGGGUGUAUCUAAAACUUACCUGAUCAAAAUCUGCACUAAUAUAUUCAAAUGCCAUACAUCUCUGCAUCUGUGUCCCUGACUUCUUAUUUUUAGUCCUCACCAGUGUAGGUACAUAUGGAUUUUCUUAUUUAUUACCUUAAUUAAGUUUAUUAUAGCUCAAGAUAUGUUUAGCAAAUUGUAAUUACUAGUAUUUCUUUAUAUGUAACAGUAGUUUUCAUCAAUCUAUCUUUUCAUUUCCAAUUCCUCAGACAUGUUUCUGGCACUCCCUUAGAGUACAAAAUAUAAUUACAAGUCAUUUGGUAAUUUUAUUAGUCUAUUCUCAGAAGACUAUGGGAUCCAUAUCUUCUAGACUUGUUCAUCUUUAUAUAUUCUGUUUCUUCGUGUAUUCCCUUACCUGCCAGAUCACCAGAUAUAGUGACAUAAUCUUCAUUACUUAAUUAUAAUUAUUAGUCAAGGGGUUUCUACCUACACAUACAGCUUCCAAACAAAAUGUCUUGAACAGAUAAGCAACAGGUUUAAAAAAUAAACCAUUUGACACUGGGAAUAUUUUGUGCUGGCCAUCUAAGAGCAGUAAGAGAAUAAAUAGUCAUUCGUUAUCUGGAGAAUGCUGUGUAAUGAAUGACAGAAUAAAGGCUGUAGGUGAAUUUGUUGCUGAAUUAUAUUCACUCUUGAAUGCACUGCAAUUCAAAGUACUUUUUUUCCUUCACAGGUAUACGCAUGCAUAAUUUAUAUUAAUAUAAAAAAAAUGUUUAUAUGUUCCUUUUGUGGGCUGGGGGGUUUUCUUGGAGAGGAAAAAACAAAGGCGAGCGGGGAGGGGGCAAGCUUGAAGAUCCUGUGAAACCUAAUUUGCAAACAAUUUGCACUAGCAGCUGUAAAUUUCACUCCAGAGAUUUCCAGGUGCUUGGUGCACAUCUAUACAUGGAGAGCAGUUCCCAAGAGAUGAAGCUUGAUGGCUGCAUUAAAAUGAAUCAGAGGCCUUAUCUCAAUGCAGGGUAUUUGCAUAUCUCCUCUUCAUGAAUCCUUACUUCAUGGAUGUGUCUUCUGCUUUUGUGCUGCCCUCAGUUUUUUAAAAAGAAUGCAGAUGAAUAGGCUUUCUAUUAAUGAGUUGCAAUAAGAGCCUGCUGAAUUUCCUGACAUCCAUUUCAUGAUUGUACUUGUCUUUUAUAGAUGCGGUUCUUUAAUUGAGUUUACCAUACAUUUUAUAGCAUACUAGAAAUCAGAGUCCUUGAGCUACUGGCACCAUGCAUUCCUGCUGUGAGACAUCCACCAUCCACAUCCUCUCAGUUUACAUGGAAAAGAUGAGCGCUAUUUCAUUCUUUACCUUGGAAACUGGACUCAGUAAGAUUUGGGUUAUUUUUUUUCUCACAGUCGCUGAGAAUUACUGUGGCAUACUCAUAAUGUUAUCUCUCAAUUUAGCCUCCUGUCGAACAAGAUCGGUUUGUGCCAGCUCCUGGGGAAGUCCUGUCAGCAGCACUCCAAUCUUGAAUUAUUCUUGACCUCCCUUUCCUAUUUCCUUCUGGCAAAAUCUAAAUGCCACAGAUUGUCAAAGGUCUUACAGGCAGAAUGGGCCAUCCUGAGCAGAACUGUGUGUACUCAGAGUGAGAAUUUCACCUGGGUUUGUUUAAUGCGUCGUUGCAGUUGGCUUCAAACCAAAAGCUACGUGAUACCUUUCACUUCUUGUGGUGCUGGUUGGAAGAGCAGAAAAUAAGUAACUAAUGAGCAGAACUCUAGAGCUCACUGGAAAGUUGCCGCAAUAUGUGGAGAUUUUAAUGGCCUUUCCUUUGUCAGGGACACCUUACCCCUCUGAGCAAGAGGUGCUGGGCUGGUGCCAAGCCCAGGGAAAGCCAGCAAAGUCCCUGCGAGCAGCAGCAAAGCUGAAAGUUGUCUCGGAGGAAAUUGCUAGACCAAGACAGGGAUUUGUUCCUGCUUUAUGUUCGUGUUCAGCCUGGGAAGCUGAAGUCUUCCAAGGAAGCAACCAAGUAUCAGCAAGCAGAUUCUGUUCCUUACUCCUGAGAAGCUAAAUCCGAAGAAAGAAAGACAAGAUUUUCUUCUGAGAUGUGGUGUGACUACAGGUUCUGCUAUUUGUUUAUGAUGUUCCACCAGUUUACAUAGUCACAGCUGCUUAUUUAGUACAUAGGUAAUCCUGUAGCAAAAUAAUGUUAACACAGUCAUUCUUAUGACACUUCUGGGUCUGGUAUUAAGGAUACCAACAGAGGAGUGAGGGUAUCCCCGUGCUUCUUGGUCUUUGCCUGCCACUGAGCUCCACAGUGCCAGAAGAGUUCAGCUGCCUUAGGUGAUGACAAUAAGGAAAGAACAUUUACUGCAGGUUGUAGGUACUCAUCUAAGCACUAUGUGGUGUGCUGUAAUUGCAGGCUGCAUUAGGUCAUGCUUUGUCACAAGGCUUAUUCCAAACAGAAGUCGCUUCCAUUGGAUUGUCCUUGCAGCAGCAACGUAAAUGAACAAGCUUGGGCAGCUUUGCCAGAAAUGUCUAAAACUAAAUAAUUAGUCAACAGCCAUUCAUGCAGCAUAUGACAGAAGUGCUAUUAUUGUCAGGGAGAGUACGGAGCCUGUGACUACAACUCACCACUCAAUCUGAACAGUUAGUUGAACAUAACACGCUUGUAAUAAUAUUUAAAGCUUAAUAUCUGAUGCGUGUAUGAGAGUCCAAAUUCACAUGACAUACAAGAAAAAAACAACGACUGGUACAUUAGAGACAUGAAUUCCUUUUAAGUUAGCUAAGGAAAUUGGCAGGUAGUUCUUAAGAACUUGUUUGUAUACAAAUCCCUUUCUGCUGCUGGAAAUCCAGCAGCAAUGUUCAAACUUUAGGCAAAAGUGCUCACAAGCUGCCUACAGACCUGUAGUCCUCAGGUAAUAAAGGAGGGGGAAAGAGCCCUCACUUAUUCCAAGUGCUCUGCAGCAUUUUGAGAAGAAAAACGAAUGUGAAUCCUAGGGAUAGUGGGCCACAGUGCUGAUACAGCAUGCCCUACAGAAGUAAGUUGGGUGCAAGGCCAUGAUGAUGCAGCUACGCUGUCAUGGGUUCCAGACACACUCCCUUUGCAGUUAGCUGAGACAGUUAGCUGGACUGUUUUCCACUGCCCAGUGUACAAAAUGCCCAAUGUUUGUAUAGCCCUUAGCAAAAUAGGACCCUAUUCUUGAUUGGCCUCAAAACAGCACAGUGAUUCUAAUUAUAAAUACCAGGGAAAUAAAUGAUCACAGAAGGCAUUUGAUGUAUUUUUUCCAGCAUGCAACAGCAGUACCAAUACGUACAAGAGCACAAUGCAAUCAGAUUCUGAUGUAUGCAAUAUAUUUUUAACACAAUGGACUUCAUCCAGACUUUUCUGGCACCAUCUUCUAUUGUCUUUCAUCACUUUGCAGUGAAGUCAUGUAGGGUACUCCAGACUUGAGGUGGCUGUGGUCUAGUGCUGAGAUUAAUGCUGAAUAAAAAUCAAGUUAGUUAGUAGAGCUUAAAUAACUGUUAGGCAAAUGAAUAUUUGUUUGUGUAAAGAAACAACUGCUGAAUAGAUGAAGUAAGUCAUUUUUGUCUCUGUCUUCCUAUAGUGUGCUGCAAAAUAAACGCAGAUCUGAGAGAGAGACCCACUUCUGCUGCUGCCCACUCCUUUCUACUUUAAUAUUGUAAAUAAAUGAUUUGGAAAAAAACAAUAUCAUAAAAUAAUAAUAAUUAGAAUUCCACUGAUGUCCCUUUUAUGAUAAUAUAUUUGAGUUGUUCUUCAAAAAUCAAAUGAAGAAACUUCAGCCACAGUAGAGGUCUUAACCAAAAUUAAAGUCUUGUACUGAAAAUAUCAGCAUUUCUUAUGAGCUCACCUGGAGGGAGAUUAUGGGGCAACAAGUAAUGAGAUGGGUAAAGGACUGCUAUUCUUACUUCAUUUGGCCAAGAUCUACUCAACAUCUUGGAUUGUCCUCGUUUUUGUUGUGUAUUAAAAUGGUGCUAAGUGAGCUCAAGCAGGGCUUGGUGUUACAGACACUGUGAGACUGUCUCCUGGCAUUUUACAGUCAGAGGAGGAGUAGAGAGAAAGGAAUGAACUGGAGAGAACUUUUACAAUGCUCAUAAAACUGAUGUUAGAUCUGUGGGUGGCAUUUGCUGACAGCAUAGUCUGAAGGGACAAACAAACCAAAGGCAGAAGUGGUGAGGAAGGGAAAUGAAGAGAAAAAAAAGAGCAAGGAUGGAAAGAAGGAAACACAUGGUAGGCAAUGAAGUAAAGGUGAAGUGGCUGUGAAUAGCUAAUCACUGAAAAGAAAACAGUGUUGAAAGUAGAAGUACAUGGGAAAAAGCAGCACACAGAUAGAAUCAGUGAGUUGCUGAUAAUUCUUAGUCAAGCUGCUUUGGUUGCUUCACAUGCCAGCCUUGAGCUUCAGGCAGAAGAACAAUUGACUGUUACGACAGUCUGGAUUUAGUUCAAGGUGAAUUACGUGUGCAAUUUCAGGAUAAUUUAUCUUCGCCUGCCUUAAAAUCCAAAAGAAAGACACCGCCAACUUUUGUUCUAGCUUAACUAUUAAUUCUAUUGAUAAAAUUUUGUUAGUCAUCUUCAGAUUUAAAAAAAAAUCCAUGCAGUCAUAAUUAGAAUUCUAUGUAUAUAGAUACGAUUUACUAGGCACUCUUCUGACACAGGGAAAAUGAUACCAUUCCCCUAAACAUCAAAGAGAUUAAGACAGACAGCUCUUGGCAGAGGCCAACAGAAGGAGCAGCAAAGUAGGAGUAAGAUUUUUUCUCGUAUAACUGUGCCAGGAAGGAAAUCUUUCAGUGUUAAAGUUCAUAGAUUUGGUGAGCUUGCAAAGGGGGCUACAUGGGAAGAUGUUGUUUGACAUCGUAAGCCUCUUGUCUGGACCUACUAACACAUUCUCCUCCCUGGAGUUGAAGAAUCCAGGUCACCUUGUAAGUAGGCAAACUGCUGCUGCAGAAGUUUCUCCUUAGGUUGUUACAUCAGUAUCUCACCUUUUGCUUGCCAAGCUUGUUUAGUACCGCGGCAGGAGUCUUCUGAAAGAGACUGCUGUGCAUCUUUGAGGACAAUGUUAAAAUUAAGCAAAUGAUGCCAGAGGUUUGUGUUUUGCUCUCUGCUGCCAUGAAUGAUCAGCAUGGGCAUAUGAUAAAGGGUAACCACUUAUUUGUGUGAGUGACUGAAAGCAGUUUUGCCAACGGGGAUGUUUGGAACAGCAUUUAAUCUGAAAAGAUAAUUAAUGUCUUCUUUGUUGUGCAACAGAAGCCUAUGGAAAGAGAAUCAUAUUGCAUCAUAUCUCUCAAUAACAUACAACUGGGUGGCUGAAAUUGGGUUUAACUAGACAGACAAAAAUAACUUCGGGAGGAGCAGAGAAAGGUUAUGGGUCAUGUGAUGCUGAUUUGUUUGUUUAAAGUUGACCUAUCCCUGCAGCAGAGAGUUUAAUGGGUUCCAGUAAGGACUUGCACCCAGCAUGCAGAGCUGCAAUUACUGUGGGAUGGUUCGAAGUCUGUGUGUGUGUGUGAGGCCUGGGUCAUGUCUGUUCGUGGGGGCAGCAGUAGCUUUCGCAAAGACUACAGAUCAGACUUCCUGAGCAUCCUUCCACUGCCCUGUGAUUGACAAUCAAUAAAAAGAGACAUGAGAUACCCUGGGUGAAAAACAGGGCAUCUGAGAUUUCACUGAAGUUGUUCAAACUUGCAAGUAGAAAAAGAAAAGGAGUUUGUUGGCUAAGACAUUGUGAAUACUUUUCUCAUUUGUAUAAACCUGUAUGUAUAAACCUGUAAAUAAAGGUUAUGUUUCCCUUAAAGUGCUAUUUUUUAUUAUUUUUGAUUUUUUUGGUAUGGGUUCUGAGAGGUGAACAGGCACAUUGCUCACUGGAUGAAUUUACCAAAGCCUAUUCCACUGAGGGCCAUUAAACUUGAUGAUAUCAUCUCUAAUUCGAGCAGUUCUUGAGCCACAGCUUCCCAGCGUCAGGCAGCAUUCAGGCUUGUCCGGUUUGCCUUCCUUCUUUGGUGACUAUCACUGACACUUCAUCUUCUUCAAGAUGCUCAUCCUUAAAGCUACCUAUUUCCUGUCCCC
ensembl:lncRNA